GUACUCGCUUCGGCAGUACAUAUACUAAAAUUGGAACGAUACAGAGAAGAUUAGCAUGGCCCCUGCGCAAGGAUGACAGGGAGCUGUUAUCACUUGUCUCCUGUUUAG
rnacentral:snRNA from 1 species